AACGAACGCUGGCGGCAGGCCUAACACAUGCAAGUCGAGCGCUCACCUUCGGGUGGGAGCGGCGCACGGGUGAGUAACACGUGGGAACCUACCUUGAAGUACGGAAUAACUGAGGGAAACUUCAGCUAAUACCGUAUACGCCCUACGGGGGAAAGGUUUAUCGCUUCAAGACUGGCCCGCGUUGGAUUAGCUAGUUGGUGAGGUAAUGGCUCACCAAGGCAACGAUCCAUAGCUGAUUUGAGAGAAUGAUCAGCCACACUGGGACUGAGACACGGCCCAGACUCCUACGGGAGGCAGCAGUGGGGAAUAUUGGACAAUGGGCGCAAGCCUGAUCCAGCCAUGCCGCGUGAGUGAUGAAGGCCUUCGGGUCGUAAAGCUCUUUCAGAUGGGACGAUGACGACGGUACCUACAGAAGAAGCCCCGGCUAACUUCGUGCCAGCAGCCGCCGUAA
rnacentral:rRNA from 1 species